ensembl:lncRNA
AGGAAGAAGUCAGACGUAGCAACGUUUCUUGAAAGCUCCAAAUAUAUGCUUAUGGGCCCUGCAAGGCCCAGCAGGAUACAAAGCCACCAGUUCCAGUUCUCAUUUGUGCCAGAACUUCAAAGCGUUUCCUUUUAUGCAGUAAUCUUAAACGUAGUCCAAGAAAACACGCACACGAUUACUUAGAUAUUCCAGUUAUGCCACCAACAUGGAAACCCGAAUGAUGAUAUUUUCCACAGGCAAAGCUUCCCUCGUUAGUUCAGUGCAAAAGUCUUCUGCUGGCCUGGAGGGAAGAUGCAGCCGCCAUGGUCUGAGCAGUGGUUGCUGCUUCCGUGUGGUGGCUGUGAUGCACUGAGCAAUGGGGCCGUGACACAGCCGCCAAAGUCCUUUUCUAUUUAGGGUCAGAAUGGUUGUUCAUUAUAGUCGUAACCUUCUUCUGAAAGAGAAGCUUUGUGUUGACUACCCAGUGCUAAUUUAUUACACAAUUUCAUAGGAUCACAGAAUUGUUUGAGUUGGAAGGGACCCUUAAAGGCCAUUUGGUCAGCCCCCCUGCACUGAACAGGGACACCCACAGCUCCAUCAGGUGCUCAGAGCCCAUCCAGCCUGACCUCGGCUGUCUGCAGGGAUGGGGCACCCACCCCUCUCUGGGCAACCUGUACCGGUGCCUCACCACCUUGUUGUAAACAACAACUUCCUUGCUUCCAGUCUUUCCUUGUAUCCAGUCUCCCCUCUGUUAGCUUGAAGCUGUUUCCCCUUGUCCUCUAACAACAGACCCUGCGAAAGAGUCUGUCCCUUCUUUCUUACAGCCCCCCCACUCACUGACAGGCUGCUCGCAGGUCUCCCCGGAGCCUUCCCUCCUGCGGGCAGAGCAGCCCCAGCUCAGCCUGUUCUCACAGGGGGGUAUUCUGUGCCUCGGAGCAUUUCUGUGGCCCUUUUCUGGACGUGCUCCAACAGGUCCAUGUCUCUCCUGUAUCAAGGACUUCCAAUGUUAACUAAAAGCUCAUGUAAUAACUAAGCAAAAUUAGUUUGGGCAAGACGUGUUUCUAUCCCAGAGACUUAAUCUCUUCUUGAAAACGUUCAAAGCCGAAGUACACCAACUUCUGCCAGUAUGGCUACGUCAUUCAGCAGUGGGUUUAUUUGGUUUGCGGGGCCAUUGCACAGGCUUGUUUUGUGCUUGCUCACUGGGCCACGGCUGCUCUGCUCCGGAGAUUAUAGCUGUAUCAUACAAACAUACAACGAGAUGGGCAUAUUAUGUUUAUGACUGCUAUUGUACUAUUUGGGUAAGUGCAGCUAAGCAGGCAGAGCCUGAGAUCCUCUCCUGCUGGAAUCACCUCCUGACAGCACUUGACCCUGCAGCCCAGGCGAGGGCCAGCAGAGACCCAUCAUCCCAUCACGCUUGAAGUGUUUUCAAGGGCUACAGGAAGCGUGGUCAGAAAUGAGGAGAUCGUUCAAGGAUCGUUUAGAUGUAGAGAAUUCCUCUUGGUUAAGCAAAUAUCCUGCUGAGUUUCUCCCGGAAAAGAAUUCCAUGUGUAAGUUUGUACAUUUUCCAGAUUAUUAGGGAUGGGAUACCAGAGCAACUUCUAUUUCUACCAACUGAGCCUGCGCCGGGGCCUAAAGCUCCCUUCCCAGUUGGAAAGUUUGCAGUUAAGAAAACAAAAUAGGUUUUUAUGAGCAAUGUUUAGUUCGAGCGUUUGGCUGAUUCUGCUGCUGCAGCCUUUAAGGUCAAAGUUUGAUUCACUGACGUGUGGUAGCCUGAGAACAGGAGUGAAAGGGAUGGGGGGGAAGUAGUCCCAAAGGUCUCUGUUUUCCUGUCCACUAAUACUUCUUUCCUGCCCGUCAGAUGUAUGUUUGACCCAUGCUUCUAAAUUAAGUGACACAAAGAGAAAUCCAUUCCUACAGCUUUCCCUGCCCUCUUUUUCUGCCCAUUGUCGCCAGCUGUGCCAUGGGUGUGUUCACUUUGCUCCGUCAGGAAGGGAACCCCAUCUUUCCAUCUUUGGGGACGCGUUCUGCGCACGACGGUGCAGUGCAGAUGCCGUGACCUUAUACACAUAUUCCGUUAGCUUAGAGAAUGGAAAAUGGGUGUUUUAUUAUUCUUAUUACUCAUUAGGAAUAACUUUAAAGGAAGCGCCCUGUUCUCCGUGGGAUGCUGUGCAGCGAGGCAGGCGGUGCGGGAAGCCGUAGCCGGCACCCUCCUUUUGUUGCUGUGUGUUGGUGUGUUUGCGUAGGUGUGUGUUUGUCCAGGAUUCCUACAGGGGUUACUUUGGGGAUCCGUCCGUAAUCUCUUCCCCCAGCAGCCAGGUCCCCCUCGCUCUGUCUCUCCUCGUUAUCCCCCCACUGCUGCGUAACCCCCAGCAAUAGCACCUCCAAAAAGCCCUGCCCUCCUCCACGUUGGUACUUCCACUGCUGUUUCCCAGAGACACACUCAUAGAUUCAUACAAUCAUCUGAGUUGGAAGGGAGCCCUAAAGGCCAUCUGAUCCCACUGCCCUGCACUGAACAGGGACACCCACAGCUCCAUCAGGUGCUCAGAGCCACCCAGCCUGACCUCGGCUGUCUGCAGGGAUGGAGCACCACCACUUCUCUGGACAACAUAGCAGUCAUCAAUCCAUCACUUACAAUACCCCAUAAUAUCCUGAGUGAUGGUUCUGAGCGCUUCUCCUAGCUGUGUUCACAAAGCAGCUGCAAAGCAUGAGGCUAUCAGAGGAGACAGGCCCACGUCCUGCCCAGGCUCUGUUACUGCAGAGCUGUGAUUGAUUUACUGCUUCCAUAAACGCAGCAGGUGGCACUGCCAAACGCGGUGAUUUACCUGGGGCCACCCCUGUGUUACGUAGAAAAAAAGAAGGAAAAAAAAGCUCAUCCUCGGAGCAAAGGAUGGGUUGUCUUCUUUUUAUCUUUCGGAUACGCAGUGAUCUGGGGAUAAUUGCAAUGCUCAAAAGACAGCUGCUCUUGGAGAUGAGAACAACGGGAGCCGAGUGCAGGCAGCCCAGCCCUGCCCUCCCUGCGAGGAGGGGAAGGUGCUGUGGUGUCCGCCCUGGGGCAGGAUGCUGGCAGGUGGAGUUCUCAAGUGGGCUGAGUAGGGAGACCAAUCUUUUCCGCAGGGAAUGGGUGUGCUUGGCCGUGCAGAGGACCCCCCGUCGUUUUCCUCCCGGUUUUUACCAUGUACUUCAUGCUUUGCUCUGUAAAGCACUGUGAUAUAGUUUGUAUACAUUCUGUAAAAUAAGUUGUAUUCUAUUAUAUUGAAGAAAUAUGGAUAUAAAAUAAAGUCGAAGGAUGGAGUAAAGUAGCCGUGUGGUAACUGGACACACUGUCCCCGGUGGC